rnacentral:rRNA from 1 species
CCUACGGGUGGCAGCAGUAGGGAAUCUUUCACAAUGGGCGAAAGCCUGAUGGAGCAACGCCGCGUGCAGGAUGAAGGCCUUCGGGUUGUAAACCUCUGUCUUUGGGGAAGAAAAUGACGGUACCCAAAGAGGAAGCUCCGGCUAACUACGUGCCAGCAGCCGCGGUAAUACGUAGGGAGCGAGCGUUGUCCGGAAUUACUGGGUGUAAAGGGAGCGUAGGCGGGCGAGAAAGUUGAAUGUUAAAUCUACCGGCUUAACUGGUAGCUGCGUUCAAAACUUCUUGUCUUGAGUGAAGUAGAGGCAGGCGGAAUUCCUAGUGUAGCGGUGAAAUGCGUAGAUAUUAGGAGGAACACCAGUGGCGAAGGCGGCCUGCUGGGCUUUAACUGACGCUGAGGCUCGAAAGCGUGGGGAGCAAACAGGAUUAGAUACCCUGGUAGUC